rnacentral:tRNA from 1 species
GGGGCUUAGCUCAGCUGGGAGAGCAUCUGCCUUACAAGCAGAGGGUCAGCGGUUCGAUCCCGUUACGCCCCC